rnacentral:rRNA from 1 species
CUCCAAAGGCAUCAGCAGUAAGGAAGACAAUGACUUUAGGGUGUCCGCCCACUCCGGGAAUAACGGCCCCUUCAAUAUAAUCAAUAGGGUAAGCUGCCCGGGUAUUUUCUGUUAGGGUAGAAUCGUUGUAGUCGGCUACAAGAGUUUCCGGCUCAAGGACCACAUUCUCUAGUACUGUUCCGUACUUAAUGGCACUCCAGAUCUGGGGUUCCUUUUCUUCAGAAAGGCUUAUGCAUUUUGCAUAGCAGCCACCUUCAAA